rnacentral:tRNA from 1 species
GGGGAUGUAGCUCAGUGGUAGAGUGUUUGUUUAGCAUGCAUAAGGCCCUGGGUUCAAUCCACAGUACCA